AUAAUAAUUAAUAAAUAAUAAUAGUUUUUGUUUACAUUCACAAAUCCAAUAUCUACUACCACCGUUUGCAAGAAUGUUAUCAACCCAAGCUGGGGUUAGUUUGUUUAUUUUUCAUUCGUUUUUGGAGUAAUGUUUUGACUCCUUGGCUCUGAAAUUAAGCCACAAAAAAAAAAAGCUACCAUUCCAUAAAGAAACCUACUCCACAAUUCCACGGCUCGCAAUACUCCCACAAACACUGGGGCUCUCCUCCUACUGUGCUCUUGCUGCAGUGCAGACUGCUGCCACCUGCCCUCAAAGAAGAAAUAUUACAGUUCACGUUUGGAAGACAUCUCACCACACUAUGGAUUUAAUCCUGGUUAAGUAUGUUGCCUGUGGCACCCUUAAACACGUGAGUGGCUUAUCAAUUUUCCCCUACUCACCUUCCAUCAUUCCAUUAAUUAUUUCUUCUAAUUUAUAUCCCUCUCUCUUUUUUUGCAGUUGCAAUUUACUGACGUCAUGUCUCACAUGCAUGCCUAACAUUGGACCUGGAUGUGGAUGAGGAGGAAGCAAAUAGAAAAACACAUGAGGUUUUUUCAGCACUUCAUAGUUUUUUGACAUCGAAAUAAUUUCUUCUAUGCCAUUGUCAGUGUAUCACCUCCACACUUCCCAGAGCUACAAAUCUAAACUCAUGCUUUAUCUUGGCCCUGGUAUUUUGAUUCCAUUCUGACCACCAGGGAUCUGAAUGCUGCUCAGCUCCAUGCAAGAUAACAUAUUUAUCAGCAUAUGACACGCACAUUUAACUCCUGAAAAGCUUUCUGUUAAAGACGGAAGAAAGAGUGAAGAUAAUGUUGAAGAUAAAGUUCUUAAAGGGUCCCAGUAGGUUGCAGUUUGCGCAGUCCUCCUUGAUAUAUCAAUCCCCCUUCAAAUCACAGUGUCCCUUUCACUUUCACGUUCUAAAGGUAUGAGGUGUCAUUUUUGUACGAAUUUUUAAAUUGAACUUUUAGGUGUAUUACAUGAAAAUGCCUAUGUGUAAAUAGGGUACAUGAUGAUAAUGGAGUUAGUGCUGUGUCCUGUUUCUUCCCAGAUCAUGCACUUACCCUGAGGAGGAGCAAUGGUCCUGCCAGAAGCCGAUGCUGGAGGGUCUUGAAUGCAGCUUUCUGUUAAAGACGGAAGAAAGAGUGAAGAGUCAAGCUCUAUGAUUUUGACCCCUGCUGCUGAAUCCAGGGACAUCCUCUGCCAGAAGGACAUCUCUUAGCUCCGCCUCCCACUCUCGCAACUUGAUAGGCUUUCCUCGGUUUUGUCCUAGUCGAAGCCUCUGCAUCUUCUUUGUAACCGUUGCCCGACAAUCAUAGAACCUGCAAAUGUACAUAAACAUUACAAUUACAUUAAUAAAAAAACAAAUACUUAGAUUAAUGUUUUUUGAAAACCACAUUUCUUUUCACAUUGUGAUGGUUAUAUGUAUACUGUUCAGCAUGUGGCUGUGACAAAUAAAUUUUUUGGUUACGUUGAACUGUUA